AGAGUUGAUCAUGGCUCAGAACGAACGCUGGCGGCGCGUUUAAGCAUGCAAGUCGAGCGGCAAGGGCCUUCGGGCCCCUAGAGCGGCGGACGGGUGAGUAACACGUGGACAAUCUGCCCCCCGGCCCGGGAUAGCCCAGGGAAACCUGGAUUAAUACCGGAUGAGACGGGACCCGCGAUGGCGGGAUCCGGGAAAGGCGCUGCGGCGCCGCCGGGGGAUGAGUCUGCGUCCCAUUAGCUGGACGCGGGGUAACGGCCCACCGUGGCGACGAUGGGUAGCCGGCCUGAGAGGGUGGACGGCCACAUUGGAACUGAGACACGGUCCAGACUCCUACGGGAGGCAGCAGCUAAGAAUCUUCCGCAAUGGGCGAAAGCCUGACGGAGCCGACGCCGCGUGAACGAAGAAGGCCGUGAGGUUGUAAAGUUCUUUUCGGGAGGGGAACAACCGUGGCAGGGAAUGGCCGCGGGAUGACGUGAAUCCCGGAAUAAGCCCCGGCUAACUACGUGCCAGCCGCAGC
rnacentral:rRNA from 1 species